GACGAACGCUGGCGGCGUGCUUAACACAUGCAAGUCGAACGGAAAGGCCCUGCUUUUGUGGGGUGCUCGAGUGGCGAACGGGUGAGUAACACGUGAGUAACCUGCCCUUGACUUUGGGAUAACUUCAGGAAACUGGGGCUAAUACCGGAUAGGAGCUCCUGCUGCAUGGUGGGGGUUGGAAAGUUUCGGCGGUUGGGGAUGGACUCGCGGCUUAUCAGCUUGUUGGUGGGGUAGUGGCUUACCAAGGCUUUGACGGGUAGCCGGCCUGAGAGGGUGACCGGCCACAUUGGGACUGAGAUACGGCCCAGACUCCUACGGGAGGCAGCAGUGGGGAAUAUUGCACAAUGGGCGGAAGCCUGAUGCAGCAACGCCGCGUGCGGGAUGACGGCCUUCGGGUUGUAAAGCUCUUUUACCCGGGAUGAUAAUGACAGUACCGGGAGAAUAAGCUCCGGCUAACUCCGUG
rnacentral:rRNA from 1 species